AACGAACGCUGGCGGCAUGCCUAACACAUGCAAGUCGAACGAGACCUUCGGGUCUAGUGGCGCACGGGUGCGUAACGCGUGGGGACCUGCCCUUAGGUUCGGAAUAACUCCCCGAAAGGGGUGCUAAUACCGGAUAAUGUCUUCGGACCAAAGAUUUAUCGCCUUUGGAUGGGCCCGCGUUGGAUUAGCUAGUUGGGAGGGUAAAAGCCUACCAAGGCGACGAUCCAUAGCUGGUCUGAGAGGAUGAUCAGCCACACUGGGACUGAGACACGGCCCAGACUCCUACGGGAGGCAGCAGUGGGGAAUAUUGGACAAUGGGCGAAAGCCUGAUCCAGCAAUGCCGCGUGAGUGAUGAAGGCCUUAGGGUUGUAAAGCUCUUUUACCCGGGAUGAUAAUGACAGUACCGGGAGAAUAAGCUCCGGCUAACUCCGUG
rnacentral:rRNA from 1 species